rnacentral:rRNA from 1 species
AUCUAAAAUGCAAAUCCACUGAACAAGCCCCAUCCUGUCUGAUCUCGGAAGCUAAGAAGGGUCAGGCCUGGUUAGUACUUAAGUGGGAGACCACCUAGAAGACCAGGUGCUGUAGGUG